AUUGAACGCUGGCGGCAGGCCUAACACAUGCAAGUCGAGCGAGCGGCGGACGGGUGAGUAAUGUCUGGGAAACUGCCUGAUGGAGGGGGAUAACUACUGGAAACGGUAGCUAAUACCGCAUACCAUCAGAUGUGCCCAGAUGGGAUUAGCUGGUAGGUGGGGUAACGGCUCACCUAGGCGACGUUCCCUAGCUGGUCUGAGAGGAGGACCAGCCACACGGGAACUGGGCCACGGUCCAGACUCCUACGGUAGGCAGCAGUGGGGAAUAGUGCACAAUGGGCGCAAGCCUGAUGCAGCCAUGCCGCGUGUGUGAAGAAGGCCGUCGGGUUGUAAAGCACUUUCAGCGGGGAGGCGUUACCCGAAGAAGAAGCACCGGCUAACUCCGUGCCAGCAGCCGCGGUAAUAC
rnacentral:rRNA from 1 species